rnacentral:rRNA from 1 species
UGAGCGGAGAUAUAUGGAGCUUGCUUUAUAUAACUUAGCAGCGAACGGGUGAGUAACACGUAGAUAAUCUAUCCUAUACUGGGGGAUAGCCCGAUGAAAGUUGGAUUAAUACCGCAUAUAGCUAUAUAGUUGCAUGAUUAUGUAGUGAAAGAUUUAUUGGUAUAGGAGGAGUCUGCGGCACAUUAGCUAGUAGGUGAGGUAAAGGCUUACCUAGGCGACGAUGUGUAGCCGGUCUGAGAGGAUGAACGGCCACAAUGGAACUGAGACACGGUCCAUACUCCUACGGGAGGCAGCAGUGGGGAAUAUUGCACAAUGGGGGAAACCCUGAUGCAGCAACGCCGCGUGAGUGAGGAAGGUUUUCGGAUUGUAAAGCUCUGUUAGCAGGGAAGAGGAAGGACGGUACCUGCAGAGGAAGCCACGGCUAACUACGUGCCAGCAGUCGCGGUAAUACGUAGGUGGCAAGCGUUGUUCGGAAUAACUGGGCGUAAAGGAUGCGUAGGCGGUUAAACAAGUUAUAUGUUAAAUAUAUAGGCUUAACCUGUAGAAAGCAUAUAAAACUGUUUAACUAGAGUGCAGGAGAGGUAAGUGGAAUUCCUAGUGUAGCGGUGAAAUGCGUAGAGAUUAGGAAGAACACCAGUGGCGAAGGCGACUUACUGGACUGUAACUGACGCUGAGGCAUGAGAGCAUGGGGAGCAAACAGGAUUAGAUACCCUGGUAGUCCAUGCUGUAAACGAUGGGUACUAGGUGUGGGUUGUGAAUAACAAUUCGUGCCGUCGCAAACGCAAUAAGUACCCCGCC